rnacentral:rRNA from 1 species
CAAUAAGCGGAGGAAAAGAAACCAACAGGGAUUGCCCCAGUAACGGCGAGUGAAGCGGCAGCAGCUCAAAUUUGAAAUCUGGCCCCCCCCGGGGGGGCCCGAGUUGUAAUUUGCAGAGGACGCUUCGGGCGCGGCGCCGGCCGAGUUCCUUGGAACAGGACGCCGUAGAGGGUGAGAGCCCCGUACGGCCGGACGCCUAGCCCGUGCGAAGCUCCUUCGACGAGUCGAGUAGUUUGGGAAUGCUGCUCAAAAUGGGAGGUAAAUUUCUUCUAAAGCUAAAUACCGGCCAGAGACCGAUAGCGCACAAGUAGAGUGAUCGAAAGAUGAAAAGCACUUUGAAAAGAGGGUUAAAGAGUACGUGAAAUUGUUGAAAGGGAAGCGCCUGUGGCCAGACGUGCCGCCCGCGGACCACCUGGCGCCCCCGCGCCAGGGCACGCCGCGGGCGCGCAGGCCAGCAUCGGCUUCCCCGGGGGGACAAAGGGCGCGGGAACGUAGCUCCCCAGGGAGUGUUAUAGACCGCGCCGCCAUGCCUCCGGGGGGGCCGAGG